rnacentral:misc_RNA from 1 species
GAUAAUGACGCCUUAAUGUAUGGAAUAACAUACAGUGGAAUAUGUUUAUUCUCUUUAGCAAGAAUGGUGAGUCAGUCGCGUCCUUGCAAUUGCUUUGUUAUAGGAUGUUCAGCUGCAGCUCCUCGCGUAUACACUCUUCACGUGAUGGAAAGACAGAGAUUCCCUGGUUGGAAGACUGGAUUUUCUAAUUGUAUCCAUCCCAGUUUACAUAGAAGGCGAUUUGGCUUGUGUAAACAUCAUCUGAAGGAUCUGCUUCUUGGUUAUAUCUCGCUUCAAUCUAUUAAUUUCAGUGCU